rnacentral:rRNA from 1 species
UACGUAGGGUGCAAGCGUUAAUCGGAAUUACUGGGCGUAAAGGGUGCGCAGGCGGUUGUUUAAGUCAGCUGUGAAAUCCCCGGGCUCAACCCGGGAAUGGCAGUUGAGACUGGACAGCUGGAGUGUGUCAGAGGGGGGCAGAAUUCCGCGUGUAGCAGUGAAAUGCGUAGAGAUGCGGAGGAACACCGAUGGCGAAGGCAGCCCCCUGGGAUAACACUGACGCUCAUGCACGAAAGCGUGGGGAGCAAACAGG